CAUCUAGUCUGCCCAAUUUUCUAAAUACUUUUAUUAGUCCCUGGCCUUAUCUUAUAGUUAGGAUAGCCUUAUGCCUAUCCCACGCAUGCUUAAACUCCCUCACUGUGUUAACCUCUACCACUUCAGCUGGAAGGCUAUUCCAUGCAUCCACUACCCUCUCAGUAAAGUAAUACUUCCUGAUAUUAUUUUUAAACCUUUGUCCCUCUAAUUUAAGACUAUGAUCUCUU